rnacentral:snRNA from 1 species
CUCCUUGCCUGCCAGGGGAGAGGGCGUGUUCACAGAAGGGGGUUCUCCAGGGAGAGGCUGCUCCUUCGCUCUCCAAGUGGGCUGGCCCCUGUGUUUCCCCAAAUGAGGGAAACUCCAUGGCAGAUUUGAGGUGUGGGGACUGCACCCACU